rnacentral:rRNA from 1 species
UGCGGAACACGUGUGCAACCUGCCUUUAUCUAGAGGAUAGCCUUUCGAAAGGAAGAUUAAUACUCUAUAAUAUAUUAAUUGGCAUCAAUUGAUAUUGAAAACUCCGGUGGAUAGAGAUGGGCACGCGCAAGAUUAGCUAGUUGGUGAGGUAACGGCUCACCAAGGCAAUGAUCUUUAGGGGGCCUGAGAGGGUGAUCCCCCACACUGGUACUGAGACACGGACCAGACUCCUACGGGAGGCAGCAGUGAGGAAUAUUGGUCAAUGGGUGCAAGCCUGAACCAGCCAUCCCGCGUGAAGGAUUAAGGUCCUAUGGAUUGUAAACUUCUUUUGUAUAGGGAUAAACCUACCCUCGUGAGGGUAGCUGAAGGUACUAUACGAAUAAGCACCGGCUAACUCCGUGCCAGCAGCCGCGGUAAUACGGAGGGUGCAAGCGUUAUCCGGGUUUAUUGGGUUUAAAGGGUCCGUAGGCGGACUUAUAAGUCAGUGGUGAAAGCCUGUCGCUUAACGAUAGAACUGCCAUUGAUACUGUAAGUCUUGAGUAUAUUUGAGGUAGCUGGAAUAAGUAGUGUAGCGGUGAAAUG